GUAGGUGGCAAGCGUUGUCCGGAAUUAUUGGGCGUAAAGCGCGCGCAGGCGGUUCUUUAAGUCUGAUGUGAAAGCCCACGGCUCAACCGUGGAGGGUCAUUGGAAACUGGAGUACUUGAGUACAGAAGAGGAAAGCGGAAUUCCACGUGUAGCGGUGAAAUGCGUAGAGAUGUGGAGGAACACCAGUGGCGAAGGCGGCUUUCUGGUCUGUAACUGACGCUGAGGCGCGAAAGCGUGGGGGAGCAAACAGGAUUAGAUACCCUGGUAGUCCACGCCGUAAACGAUGAGUGCUAAGUGUUAGGGGGUUUCCGCCCCUUAGUGCUGCAGCUAACGCAUUAAGCACUCCGCCUGGGAGUACGGCCGCAAGGCUG
rnacentral:rRNA from 1 species